AGGGUCGAAAGACGGUCUUAGUGAUCCCCGCAUGCGCAGUGGUUGCGCGGCGGGCUUAACGGAUAAAAGCUACCCCGGGGAUAACAGGCUGAUCGCAUCCGAGCGUCCACAGCGACGAUGCGGUUUGGCACCUCGAUGUCGGCUCUCUGCAAUGUGCAGAGUGGGCCCCUUAUCUAGUAAUAGGUGAGGUAAAUUUAGCUCAUAACGGUGGAGCCCUUAAUACGCACUUCUUUGCUAUAAUAGCUGUGUAUGGGUAAUACCGUGGGAAGUCGAGGAGUUUUAACAAGUAAACAAAAGGAAAUAAUAAUUGGAACUUUAUUGGGAGAUGGUCAUUUGGAGAAAAACGGGAAACAUACUCGUUUGCGCGUAGAUCAUUACAACAAACAUAAAAAGUAUGUUUUUUGGUUAGCAAAAGAACUGAUUCCUUUCUCUUUGAAACCUCGUGCAAUUAACGAGACGGAUAAAAGAAGCGGAAAAGUAUAUUCUAGAUGGCAUAUCUCAACCAAAAGUCUUCAGCUAUUUGAUGAGUUUCGAGCGUUAUUUUAUAGAGGAAGGAUAAAAAUAGUUCCUCGUAAUCUUGAAGCACUUAUUACCCCUUUGUCACUUGCGAUUUGGUAUAUGGAUGACGGUUUUCGAAGGAAAGAUUCCAAGGGAUUUUAUCUUUGCACCUCAUCGUAUACCCAGGAAGAACACAAAGUAUUACAAGAAGUAUUGUUUAAACGUUUUAUGAUACUUACGAAGGUUCAUCAUCAACGUGAGUAUUUAAGAAUGUUUAUACCUUCAGCUUCUGCAAAUACUUUUAAUGGUUUAAUUAAGCCAUAUGUUCUCCCAGAUUUAAACUAUAAACUCCUUUGACCCCGUAACGACUCUCCAAUUUACAAUAUUGGAGGAUCCCGAUUUGAUCGGGAUAACACGCUAAGCUCCCGACCUCUAUUUGAUUAAAGGUCGUCGGGAUGAUGGUAUAGUCUAACCCUCAUGGAAACAUGAGAUAAGUUGCAUCCUAUCCUGGGGGUGGAGAAGCUCCCAAGGGUCCGGCUGUUCGCCGGUUAAAAGGGUACGCGAGCUGGGUUCAGAACGUCGUAAUUGUUUAUUGCGACCUUCAGUGGUAACAUUGAAGUUAAAUUUGGCUAAUAACGGUGGAACCCUCCUUUCUUGACUGAACGGAAGAGGGUAAUACCGUGGGAAGACGAAGUAUUGUGGUUGAAAAAACAAGAGCAUAUAUUGCUGGUUUUCUUGAUGGAGAUGGGUCUAUUUUUCUUCAAUUAAUAAGAAGAAAAGACUAUGUAUUUGGAUUUCAAAUACGCGCAAGUUUAGUAUUUUAUCAAAAGAAAUCACAGAAAAAAAUUCUUAGAUGGUUGAUACAUAAACUACGCAGCGGUUACAUCCGCGACAGAAAUGAUGGAAUGUGUGAAUACACGAUAGUAGGAUUAGGAAAUGUAAAGAAAGCCUUAGAGGAAGUAGAACCAUACCUUAUUCUUAAAAGAAAACAAGCAAAAUUAGCUUUGCGAAUUAUUUCGCGAUUAGAAGGAACGACGAGAACAUCAGGUUUUCUUCUUCGGAUCGCAAAAGAAGUAGAUAAGUUUGCAGAGCUUAACUAUUCAAAGAAACGUGUUAAUGAUACAAACACAUUAAGAAAAUUUUUUCAACAAAAUGCUUCUGUCCCCGUAUCGACUGAUUCCUGAUUUUUCAGGAUGAGAUAGCUAGACCUAUAAUUUAGGAUGCUAUCAUACGCCAACUCCUUCAUGGUGAAGGAAGAAGAUAUAGUCAGUACUUCUAGAAAUAGAAGAAUGCAAAGAACAGAAACUUUGCUAGGAUAAAUAUCCUAUAAUACGAAGACAGUUCGGUCUCUAUCCUGUGUGUGCGUUGGAUAUUUGAGGGGAGUCGCCCGUAGUACGAGAGGACCCGGGUGAACGAAUCCCUGGUGUGCCAGUUGUCGGAAUUUCCGGCAUCGCUGGGUAGCCACAUUCGGACGGGAUAAGCGCUGAAAGCAUCUCAAGCGCCAAGCCCACCCCAAGAUGAGAUAUCCUUAUAAACCCCUAGUAGACUACUAGGUUAAUAGGCUGGAGGUGAAAGACCCGUAAGGGUUUAAGCUGACCAGUACUAAUCGGUU
rnacentral:rRNA from 1 species